rnacentral:rRNA from 1 species
AAACUGGGAUUAGAUACCCCACUAUGCCUAGCCCUAAAUCUAGAUACCUCCCAUCACACAUGUAUCCGCCUGAGAACUACGAGCACAAACGCUUAAAACUCUAAGGACUUGGCGGUGCCCCAAACCCACCUAGAGGAGCCUGUUCUAUAAUCGAUAAUCCACGAUUCACCCAACCACCCCUUGCCAGCACAGCCUACAUACCGCCGUCGCCAGCCCACCUCUAAUGAAAGAACAACAGUGAGCUCAAUAGCCCCUCGCUAAUAAGACAGGUCAAGGUAUAGCCUAUGGGGUGGGAGAAAUGGGCUACAUUUUCUAACAUAGAACAAACGAAAAAGGACGUGAAACCCGCCCUUAGAAGGAGGAUUUAGCAGUAAAGUGAGAUCAUACCCCCUAAGCUCACUUUAAGACGGCUCUGAGGCACGUACACACCGCCCGUCACCCUCA